AGAAGAUUGGAAGUUAGCGAAUGUUGUGCCAAUUUACAAGAAAGGUAAUAGGGAGGAGUCGGGCAACUAUAGGCCAGUAAGCCUUACUUUAGUAGUGGGGAAAGUGAUGGAAACCAUGUUAAAGGAUAGGAUUGAUGAACAUCUAAAAACACAUGGAUUUCAAGAUCAGAGACAACAUGGGUUUACUUCAGGGAGAUCAUGCCAAACUAAUCUUAUUGAUU